rnacentral:lncRNA from 1 species
CAUUCCAUCUUGAUCCAAUGGAUCUCAUUCACUCUUGGCCUAGGUAUUUAAAGCUUCGAAAAUCUGAAAAUUGUCCCCAUUUCCACUCAUAAUUUUUUUCUCCUUCCUCUCUCUUCUCUCUCUCUCUCUCUUCGCCACCUCUACGCCACCGCCGGAAAUCUCCCACCGGCGGCGGACAACCUCCAAACACCUCCAAAUUCACACCAUAUAAUCUUCACAACUUUCUCUUUCCAUAUCUCCAAACCAAAUCCUUCAAAAAAAAUCUCAAACUCCUUGAAUCUUAGAUCUAGGAAACUUUUCCGGCACAUUUUUGCCCAAAUUCUUGAAGCUCCAACCACUACCACCCCAUAAUACCUACAACAAUGAAUAGAGCUCCUCAAGACCUAGUUAUUGAUGCCAAUUUCACCCUGAAAAUCCGGCAACCAAAAUUCGACCAAAUUCCGGCAACCUCCCCGAACACCCUCUUUUGGCAUACCACCAUUUUAAGGCCACUUGAAUUGUAAAAUGGUAAAAAUUCUAUUUUUUUUCAUGGAUGAUUUUUUAUUUUAUUUUGUCUAUUAUUAAUUAUUUUAGCAUUAGUUUUUGAAGUUUGAAAUGUUAAAUUUUCUGUUUUUGCACUUGUUGAAGUAGUAAAAUAGUUUUGUAUUGAUAAACGUGAGGUAGUGAAGAAUACUUGAGAGUAUAGGGUACUUGUUUGUUUGUUUAUUUACUACUUCAAGACUUUUUGAGUACAACACUCAAAAAUCAACUUAUCUGGUAAGAAAAUAUAGACUUUUGGACAGUUUUUGAAUAAAAGUCUAUCUUUGAAUAGUAAAGAACAGAUUUUGUUUGAAAUACUGACAAGAUUUGAACUAGAAAGUCUUGCUUUUUGAAUUUAAGAGUAGAUUUUGUAGAAAAAUCUGUCAAAAAAUUGAUUUUUAAUAGUUGUUUGAUUUGAUAUAUAAAGAGGACACGUCCUUAAAAAACAGAUUUAGCCAUCAUCUCUUGCACUCUAAAAAGACAUAUCUUUGAGAAAAAUCAAGAACUAAACAACAAGUAGUAAGCUGAAAAUUCUGAGCUUGGUGAGUUGUUUCUUAGAGUGCAAAAACCUUGGGAAAAAAAUAGAAGGACCCUUUGAGCAAUUCAUGAAGUUGUUAGCUACUAGUUUCAAACAUCCUUGUUGAGUUUUCUGAGUUAUUUUUCGGUUGUUUGCUGCUGCCCCUUUGCCAUUUGUUGUUGUCACUGCUGCUGAUUUUUGGUUCAUCCAUUGCUGACAUUUUUUCUGCUAUCCAGAUAAUUCCUUUAAUGUACUGAAAUUCUUGAUCAAGAAUUAAUGCAAGUGAAGCAACUUGAGUCCUUCAGUGUAUUUUGAGCUUUUGAAAAUAUUCUGUCCAGAUCCAUUUGAGUACCAUAACUCAUAAAUGUUAUCAUAUUUUUAGAGUUUGUUUUAAAGGAUUAGAGCAUUUACUAAGUUUAGAGUACAUAAUUAUUAUCAUAUAAUAGGUGAUGAUGAAGUGAGUCUUACUUACUUUGUUUCGUUUUUUUUGUUCAAUUAGCAAGUCAGCGGUGUACAUAUGUAAUAUUAUUUUAGAGUUUGCAUAUAUAAAAAGACUAGUUUAAGUUGAUUAUACACAUAGGUGUGGGGUCCUAGGCCAUGUGAUUUUGCUUUUAGAUUAAUGGAAUUAUGGGCUUAUAAAAGUUGAUUCUUAAAGAAAGGAAAAGAAAAUGUUAGAAC